rnacentral:rRNA from 1 species
GACGAACGCUGGCGGCGUGCCUAAUACAUGCAAGUUGAGCGCUGAAGGUUGGUACUUGUACCAACUGGAUGAGCAGCGAACGGGUGAGUAACGCGUGGGGAAUCUGCCUUUGAGCGGGGGACAACAUUUGGAAACGAAUGCUAAUACCGCAUAAAAACUUUAAACACAAGUUUUAAGUUUGAAAGAUGCAAUUGCAUCACUCAAAGAUGAUCCCGCGUUGUAUUAGCUAGUUGGUGAGGUAAAGGCUCACCAAGGCGAUGAUACAUAGCCGACCUGAGAGGGUGAUCGGCCACAUUGGGACUGAGACACGGCCCCAAAUCCUACGGGAGGCAGCAGGAGGGAAUCUUCGGCAAUGGACGAAAGUCUGAACGAGCAACGCCGCGUGAGUGAAGAAGGUUUUCGGAUCGUAAAACUCUGUUGGUAGAGAAGAAAGUUGGUGAGAGUGGAAAGCUCAUCAAGUGACGGUAACUACCCAGAAAGGGACGGCUAACUACGUG